rnacentral:lncRNA from 1 species
AAUUUCUAUCCCCUACUUUUGGAGGAAGCAACCUGGAGUUGGAAUUGCAUGUACCUACACCAGUGGAGAUCAAAAUUAGAUGGCAUGCCAAGGUCUUGCCACGUAGACAAAAUGGCGGAAAGAGGUUUCUUGAAUUUCAUGAGAAGUGUAGGUGAAGAAAAAGAUUUAUGGUGGGUUUUUUUUUUUUUUAAAUAUGGAGUAUAUAAUAUUUAGAAUACAAGAUUUAGCUUUAUGAAUACUCCAGGGUGACAUUGGACCUUAAAAUCUUUCUCUUUCUCACUGGUGGUGAAAUAGCUCUACCAAUUAUUUAGAUUGCCCCAUCUCCACUCUAUUCUUAUUAUUUAUUUUUAAUUUUUUUGGCUUUCUU